CUCCGCCGGCGGCCGGCGCACGGGUGAGUAACACGUAUGAAACCUGCCCGUAGCAGGGGGAUAAGCGGAAGAAAUUCCGUCUAAUACCGCGUAACAACCCGAGGAGGCAUCUCCUCGGGUUUAAAGGAAGCGAUUCCGGCUACGGAUGGUCAUGCGUCGCAUUAGCUAGUUGGCGGGGUAACGGCCCACCAAGGCGACGAUGCGUAGGGGUUCUGAGAGGAAGGUCCCCCACACUGGUACUGAGACACGGACCAGACUCCUACGGAAGGCAGCAG
rnacentral:rRNA from 1 species